GACAGAGGUGCCGAGCGUUAGGCGGAAUCACUGGGCUUAAAGCGUGUGUAGGCGGGCCGUUAAGUAUCUUGUGAAGUCCCCCGGCUCAACCGGGGAAUGGCUGGAUAUACUGGCGGUCUUGAGCGAUCUAGGGGCAGAUGGAACAAGUGGUGGAGCGGUGAAAUGCGUAGAUAUCACUUGGAACGCCAAAGGUGAAAACAGUCUGCUGGGGAUCUGCUGACGCUGAGACACGAAAGCCAGGGGAGCGAACGGG
rnacentral:rRNA from 1 species